UUUAACUUGGGGAAGGAUCAUUG
rnacentral:rRNA from 1 species